rnacentral:rRNA from 1 species
GGACUACCGGGGUUUCUAAUCCUGUUUGCUCCCCACGCUUUCGCGCCUCAGCGUCAGUUACGGUCCAGAGAGCCGCCUUCGCCACCGGUGUUCUUCCCAAUAUCUACGAAUUUCACCUCUACACUGGGAAUUCCACUCUCCUCUCCCGCACUCAAGCACCAGAGUAUCAAGCGCAAUUCCCAGGUUGAGCCCAGGGCUUUCACGCCUGACUUCUCGCGCCGCCUGCGCGCCCUUUACGCCCAGUAAUUCCGAACAACGCUCGCCCCCUUCGUAUUACCGCGGCGGCUGGCAC